rnacentral:lncRNA from 1 species
CUCCCUCUUCCUGCCCACCCUCCUCAGAGAAUGCCAAGUCUGCAGGUUUCCACGACCUUGAGCAGCCAGCAGGUUGGAGCAGGAGCGCAGAGCUUUGCAAGGAGGUCUUGGGCAGGGCCUCUCUCGCCGGCUGGGGUUGCUCUGCCUUGGCGCUUGCUUUCUGCCCACACCCAAUACUGUUGCCCUGCUUUAUUUUUCUCUAUGGCACUUCUCAUCUUCUGACAAUUUACUUUACUUAUGUGUAUUUUCUUUUCUCCUCUCCCCCCAUUAGGUCAGUUCCAUGAGGGCAGGGAUUUCUAUCUGCGGUGGCCACUGUUCCAUCCCCAAAGCCUGGAACAGUGCCUGGCACACAGUAGGUGCCCAGGGAGAACUGAUGAACGAAGUGCUCUGGACAGCCCCCAUUCACUGCAUACUUACUCCUGCACCAGCUAACUGCCUCGAUCAACAGCCCUGGGUGCCGAGGAGUAUGCCAGUUCCCUUGGGGAAGAUCGGGAAACCGAAGCCCAGAAAGGAAGAACCCAAGGCAAAGGACCAGCCCAAGGUCACGCGGUCGAGUAGUGGAGCCGGGACCAAGCCCAAGCUUCCGAGCCGCGGCGCCUGCGCGCUGAGCCCUUCCUCCCACCACCCAGAGGCACGAUGGAUAUUAAACAAAUCAUCACGUACCUGUACCUGCAGCCAGUUCAGGGGACUGAGAAGGCAUGAUGGGGAUGGGGUGUCGACAACCGGAGGAGGCUUCCCAGAGCAGGACUACCUGGCCAUCCCAUGAUGCCCAAGGACCUCUGUCUUGCCCUGGGUACCACGCCCCACCCUGAU